rnacentral:rRNA from 1 species
AAUGAAUGUUGGCGGCGUGGAUUAGGCAUGCAAGUCGUGCGACAGGCCCGCAAGGGCGCUGAGCGGCGAAAGGGAGAGUAACGCGUAGGUUAUCUACCCUCAGGACCGGGAUAGCUACGGGAAACUGUAGGUAAUACCGGAUGAUGUCUCCGGACUAACGGUGUGAUUCCGCCUGUGGAGGAGACUGCGUCCGAUUAGCUAGUUGGUGGGGUAACGGCCUACCAAGGCUGAGAUGGGGACGGGGGAUGAGAGUAUGCCCCCGCUCACUGGGACUGGGACACUGCCCAGACACCUACGGGUGGCUGCAGUCGAGGAUCUUCGGCAAUGGGCGCAAGCCUGACCGAGCGACGCCGCGUGUGGGAUGAAGGCCUUCGGGUUGUAAACCACUGUCAGUGGGGAGGAAAUGCUACAGGGUUCUCUCUGUAGUUUGACCUAUCCGCAGAGGAAGUACGGGCUAAGUUCGUGCCAGCAGCCGCAGUAACAC